UACGUAGGGCGCAAGCGUUGUCCGGAAUUAUUGGGCGUAAAGAGCUCGUAGGCGGCUUGUCGCGUCGACUGUGAAAACCCGCGGCUCAACUGCGGGCCUGCAGCCGAUACGGGCAGGCUAGAGUUCGGUAGGGGAGACUGGAAUUCCUGGUGUAGCGGUGAAAUGCGUAGAUAUCAAGAGGAACACCUGCGGCGAAGGCGGGUUGCUGGGCCGACACUGACGCUGAGGCGCGAAAGCUAGGGGAGCGAACGGG
rnacentral:rRNA from 1 species